UACGUAGGAGACGAGCGUUGUUCGGAUUCACUGGGCGUAAAGGGUGCGUAGGUGGUUAGGUAAGUCUGAUGUGAAAUCUCCGGGCUCAACCCGGAAAUGGCAUUGGAAACUAUUUGACUAGAGGAGUGGAGGGGGGACUGGAAUACUUGGUGUAGCAGUGAAAUGCGUAGAUAUCAAGUGGAACACCAGUGGCGAAGGCGAGUCCCUGGACACUUCCUGACACUGAGGCACGAAAGCUAGGGGAGCAAACAGG
rnacentral:rRNA from 1 species